AUGAUUCCAGCCAUCCUCCUUGUAUCCCAAGGAAGACGAACUUGGGUGCAGGUGCUCUGCACACAGCAGCAGACAACCCUGCUCCAGCUGCAGAGCUGUACCGGUACCGCAUGUGGCUGUAGGAGUUGGGCAGAUGUGGGAAGCUGCACGCUGAAGGAAGUCACCUGUCACUCUGCCAUCCUGUGGGAGAGGUUCUGCUUGCUGGAUUCAUCACUCAUGGAACUCCGUCGUCCUUUUAACUUGCAUCUUCCUGAAGGUGGUCUUGACAACUUAUGUAAACAAUUUCGGUCUUAUCAAGUGACCCAGGGUGAAACUGAAGCAGAGGCAAGGACUAGCUGGUUGCGGCCCCUCCCAGGAUACAACAGAGGAUACGGAUUGUUCAUUUGGUUUUGUUUCCCAGUGGCUCCGAAUAUGGGUCUUUAUCUCCAACAGUACUGAUGUUCCCAUGAGAACACCUUAUUCCCCCCAAGGAUCCUUAGAGGUGAAUGUCUACAAAAAGCCAGCACUUGGGAGGAAGUGUGUGCAGAGGAAUGACAGAGCUCUACAGAAAGCAACAAGAGCUAAGAACUCUGUAUCGAGGUGAGGGAUUUAAAAAAUGUAAACUCAGGAACAUGAAGUGGGGAGGGGGUGAUUUGAAUUAUAUGUCAAGCACUUAAAUGGUUGGAAAACAUCUAUUAAUAUCCCCAGACCUGGGAGGCUGAGAUGGCUCAGCAGGUAAGAGGUACCUGCUGCCAAGCCUGACCACCCGACUGGAGAGCCACAUGGUGGGAGGAGAGAACCAAACCAACUUUCGAAAGUUGCUUUCUGACCUUCACAAGCACAACAUGGAGUGUGCGCUCACAGUCCUCCCCCAACACAAUAUAAAUGUAAAAAUCUCCUAUCCUGAUAUCGGUGUAGUAGUUGUGGCUAAUCUGUGAUUCAUACAACUCUGUCUCUAAAAGUCGAUGUGAGCAGGUUCUAAGUAUAUUCUCUAUGGCAAAUUUUAUUUUUUAAAGAUAUUUUAAUGAAAGUCUUCCUUCUAAACCAUCUUCUGUCUAAAAUGUUUCUGAAUCUCCAUGAUGUUUUCCUGCAAAUUAAUUCAAAUGAAAUUCUAGUAAGACCUCUUAGCAUCAGACAGAACACAAGGAACCUUAAAACUCUUAUUCACCUGCACAUACACACCAUCAGCUGCAGAGGGCGCUGAUGCCAUUUUCCUCAGGCCUGGCAGAAAAGAUUGCCUGCUGGGAUCUUCAUUUCUUCCCUCUUUUAAAGGGUGGUUACUGAUAAAACACAAAGCUCAACUGUAUACCUUGAUGACUCAUUGUCGUGUGUAUAUGAAGUAGAAAUGGGUAUUACAAAACCCACUUUUAAAAUCAUCUCCUGGAGUCCCCCAAACAUGGAGGACCCUUUUCAAAAGGAAAGUAUUGUGCUCUGUAUUGAAGUCAUAACCAGCUAGUCA
rnacentral:lncRNA from 1 species